rnacentral:rRNA from 1 species
UACGUAGGGCGCAAGCGUUGUCCGGAAUUAUUGGGCGUAAAGAGCUCGUAGGCGGCUUGUCGCGUCGAGUGUGAAAGCCCGGGGCUUAACUCCGGGUCUGCAUUCGAUACGGGCAGGCUAGAGGCAGGUAGGGGAGAACGGAAUUCCCGGUGUGAGCGGUGAAAUGCGCAGAUAUCGGGAGGAACACCGGUGGCGAAGGCGGUUCUCUGGGCCGUGUACUGACGCUGAGGAGCGAAAGCGUGGGGAGCGAACAGG